rnacentral:rRNA from 1 species
AGUCGAACGGAAAGGCCCUUCGGGGUACUCGAGUGGCGAACGGGUGAGUAACACGUGGGUGAUCUGCCCUGCACUUUGGGAUAAGCCUGGGAAACUGGGUCUAAUACCGAAUAGGACCGCAUGCUUCAUGGUGUGUGGUGGAAAGCUUUUGCGGUGUGGGAUGGGCCCGCGGCCUAUCAGCUUGUUGGUGAGGUAAUGGCUUACCAAGGCGACGACGGGUAGCCGGCCUGAGAGGGUGACCGGCCACACUGGGACUGAGAUACGGCCCAGACUCCUACGGGAGGCAGCAGUGGGGAAUAUUGCACAAUGGGCGCAAGCCUGAUGCAGCGACGCCGCGUGAGGGAUGACGGCCUUCGGGUUGUAAACCUCUUUCGCCAGGGACGAAGCGCAAGUGACGGUACCUGGAGAAGAAGGACCGGCCAACUACGUGCCAGCAGCCGCGGUAAU